AUUGAACGCUGGCGGCAUGCUUUACACAUGCAAGUCGAACGGCAGCGCGGGUUUCGGCCUGGCGGAGAGUGGCGAACGGGUGAGUAAUACAUCGGAACGUGCCCAGUAGUGGGGGAUAGCUCGGCGAAAGCCGGAUUAAUACCGCAUACGACCUGAGGGUGAAAGCGGGGGAUCUUCGGACCUCGCGCUAUUGGAGCGGCCGAUGGCAGAUUAGCUAGUUGGUGGGGUAAAGGCCUACCAAGGCGACGAUCUGUAGCUGGUCUGAGAGGACGACCAGCCACACUGAGACUGAGACACGGCCCAGACUCCUACGGGAGGCAGCAGUGGGGAAUUUUGGACAAUGGGCGAAAGCCUGAUCCAGCAAUGCCGCGUGUGUGAUGAAGGCCUUCGGGUUGUAAAGCACUUUUGGCGGGAACGAAAAGGACUGUGCCAAUACCACGGUUCGAUGACGGUACCCGCAGAAUAAGCACCGGCUAACUACGUG
rnacentral:rRNA from 1 species